GAUGAACGCUGGCGGCGUGCUUAACACAUGCAAGUCGAACGGAAAGGCUCCUGCUUGCAGGGGUACUCGAGUGGCGAACGGGUGAGUAACACGUGGGUGAUCUGCCCUGCACUUCGGGAUAAGCCUGGGAAACUGGGUCUAAUACCGGAUAGGACCACAUUUUGGAUGGUGUGGUGGAAAGUUUUUCGGUGUGGGAUGAGCUCGCGGCCUAUCAGCUUGUUGGUGGGGUAAUGGCCUACCAAGGCGUCGACGGGUAGCCGGCCUGAGAGGGUGUACAGCCACAUUGGGACUGAGAUACGGCCCAGACUCCUACGGGAGGCAGCAGUGGGGAAUAUUGCACAAUGGGCGCAAGCCUGAUGCAGCGACGCCGCGUGGGGGAUGACGGCCUUCGGGUUGUAAACUCCUUUCGCUAGGGACGAAGCGCAAGUGACGGUACCUGGAGAAGAAGCACCGGCUAACUACGUG
rnacentral:rRNA from 1 species